GAAAAAACAACUAAAGUGAUAUGUUUUUAACAAGUACUCAAGGUUUCAAUGAAAUACAACAACAUUAUCUACAAAAAAAUGGGGGAAAUGUGGGUUGGGGUAGUCCAAUUACCCCGCUUGGUAGUGGAAGGGUUAAAAAAAUAUUCAAAUAUUAUUU